rnacentral:rRNA from 1 species
UUCCGUAGUGACCUGCGGAAGGACAUUA